rnacentral:rRNA from 1 species
AUAAUGGGUCAGCGACUUAUAUUCUGUAGCAAGGUUAACCGAAUAGGGGAGCCGAAGGGAAACCGAGUCUUAACUGGGCGUUAAGUUGCAGGGUAUAGACCCGAAACCCGGUGAUCUAGCCAUGGGCAGGUUGAAGGUUGGGUAACACUAACUGGAGGACCGAACCGACUAAUGUUGAAAAAUUAGCGGAUGACUUGUGGCUGGGGGUGAAAGGCCAAUCAAACCGGGAGAUAGCUGGUUCUCCCCGAAAGCUAUUUAGGUAGCGCCUCGUGAAUUCAUCUCCGGGGGUAGAGCACUGUUUCGGCAAGGGGGUCAUCCCGACUUACCAACCCGAUGCAAACUGCGAAUACCGGAGAAUGUUAUCACGGGAGACACACGGCGGGUGCUAACGUCCGUCGUGAAGAGGGAAACAACCCAGACCGCCAGCUAAGGUCCCAAAGUCAUGGUUAAGUGGGAAACGAUGUGGGAAGGCCCAGACAGCCAGGAUGUUGGCUUAGAAGCAGCCAUCAUUUAAAGAAAGCGUAAUAGCUCACUGGUCGAGUCGGCCUGCGCGGAAGAUGUAACGGGGCUAAACCAUGCACCGAAGCUGCGGCAGCGACGCUUAUGCGUUGUUGGGUAGGGGAGCGUUCUGUAAGCCUGUGAAGGUGUGCUGUGAGGCAUGCUGGAGGUAUCAGAAGUGCGAAUGCUGACAUAAGUAACGAUAAAGCGGGUGAAAAGCCCGCUCGCCGGAAGACCAAGGGUUCCUGUCCAACGUUAAUCGGGGCAGGGUGAGUCGACCCCUAAGGCGAGGCCGAAAGGCGUAGUCGAUGGGAAACAGGUUAAUAUUCCUGUACUUGGUGUUACUGCGAAGGGGGGACGGAGAAGGCUAUGUUGGCCGGGCGACGGUUGUCCCGGUUUAAGCGUGUAGGCUGGUUUUCCAGGCAAAUCCGGAAAAUCAAGGCUGAGGCGUGAUGACGAGGCACUACGGUGCUGAAGCAACAAAUGCCCUGCUUCCAGGAAAAGCCUCUAAGCAUCAGGUAACAUCAAAUCGUACCCCAAACCGACACAGGUGGUCAGGUAGAGAAUACCAAGGCGCUUGAGAGAACUCGGGUGAAGGAACUAGGCAAAAUGGUGCCGUAACUUCGGGAGAAGGCACGCUGAUAUGUAGGUGAAGUCCCUCGC